AUGGCAACCAACACUUCAGCAACAGAUUAUUCAUCAGCAGGCACACAGCCACAGAUUGACAGACGACUCCUGGAGGCAGCCACAUCGGGUGAUCCCAGGCGAGUCAAGGAAUUAGUAUCACGGAAUCCAAGCAUUAUACUUGGAACCACUCCACAAGGAAACAGCUGCCUCCACAUAUCCUCUAUGCAUGGUCACAAGGAAUUCUGCGAGGAUGUGCUGGAAAUAGAGGAGUCUCUCCUUUUAAAUGCUAACUUUGAGUCUUUCCUCUCAAAGUUGAAUCUUCAAGGGGAGACACCGCUUGUAACCGCCGUUACACAUGGUCAUGCCUUCGUGGCUUCUUUUUUAGUUGGACGCUGCCAUCGACUAGGAUUGAGACAGGUAAUCUUGCAGCAAGACAAGACUGGUUGUAAUGCACUGCACCAUGCCAUUCACAGUGGCCAUAAGGAACUUGCCCUCGAGUUGAUAGCAGCAGAGCCUGCUCUGUCACGAGAUGUGAACAAAUUUAAAGAGUCACCCUUGUUUCUCGCUGUCAUGAGAGAUUUUUGUGAUGUGGUCGAGAAACUAGUCAGAAUUACUGAUUCUGCUCAUGGAGGAGAGUUUGGCUUGAAUGCUCUACAUGGUGCUGUCAGAAAUGAUAAUCCAGUUAUUGCUAGACAAAUUAUGGAGACACGCCCUGAACUUGCCAGAGAAGGUAACACGGAUUUGGUUACUCCAAUAAGAAUGGCGGUACGUUAUGGCAAGAUGCGCGUGGUGCGAGAAUUGCUGCGACAUGAUUUUUCCUUAGGGUAUGAAAUGCACAAGAACAUCUUUCCUCUGCUUAAUUGUGCCGCAGCUGGAGGUCAGGUUAAUGUUGCUCAAGAAAUUCUCAGACAUUGCCCUGAUGCUCCUUAUCGUGAAAUAGGUGGUGAGACUCGGACAUGCCUUCAUAUAGCUGUAUUGAACAAUCAUAUCGAGUUCGUUAAAUUUAUCCUGAGCACACCAUAUCUUCGAAAGCUUGUUAACAUGCAAGACAGCAACAGAAAAACUGCGUUACAUUACGCAGUCCAGGGGUGCUAUCCUAAAAUAAUUGCUGCCUUACUGUCUCAUGAGGAUAUAGACAGAGCAGUACUUGACAACAGUGCUAAACCAACAGCUUGGGAACUGUGGAUCAAUACGUAUUGCGCCAAAAGCAUAAACUGGAAUAACGUAUGGAUGCUUAAGUUGAAAGGCCGUCCCCAAAAUACCAUGUGUCUUCAAAAUAUUCAUGGUGAUGUCAAGCAAGGAGCAAUUAAUGAAUCAAGCGGGGUAGCAAAGUCACCUUGCCCACUGCUUUCAUUCUGCCUGUAA
rnacentral:rRNA from 1 species